UGGCAAGCCUCUGCAUGAAUAAAAGAUCUAGUAAAAGCUUUACAUGUUGAGGACACCACAGAAAUGAAACUCUUCUCUGAAAUUCAUGUUGGAAAUGCACUUCAUCAUCUCAUUACCCGUAUUUCCAUUCUGCCUCGAUGAAUGGGCCGACCCGGAGGCUCACAUAGAGGCCUUGAGCAUGGAUUUCUCUGAUGAACUUCACAAGAUCGUAUCUUCCUUCGAAGUUGUACUGGGAGCACCCACCUGACCUUGGAUAGGCUCAUGGACAUUCCAGAAGACGUAUGUCUGUAUGACAUCCAGGCCACCUUCCCUGGCGCUCUCUAUGAGUCUUGGCCACAUCUGCUAAUUGGAUUGUACAUUAGUUUGAAGGAAAGGAACUGAGGUUUUCUGCUUCAUACAGUAUGAUUCGUGGCGCAUGCUUGAUUGCUUGAUUGCUUACUGUAUGUAUGUAUGUAUGUAUUGACUGAACUAAUUUGAUUGCUGGGUGAAACUUUAACUGAACUAAUCUGUUUAUCUAGUGAGUUAGAUUUUCUGCUGUAGUGUACUAGCAAUCAAGAAUUUACUUUAAUUAAAAAAUGCUUGAAAUGAUGUCU